GGCAGGUUAGAGGAAUAGGAGUAUGUCAUUGGGCGGGUGGAAGGGGUCUGAGACAAAAACGAGGGAAGACCCGAGAAAUCGGUCCCCGCCGACACGUAGUAAGUGCAACUGGGUGACAGAAAUGUGAGCUGACGGGAGAUUGCGACGACAGAGAAAGAAAGCAUGUGGAGGCCACGCAGGCGGAGACCACACAGAGGGGGGCAAAAAGAACCGACCAACUCCACGGUCAACGGGAACGGCUCACUGCAGGGAACUCGGGAAGGACGGAGGGGCCUCGGGACAAACUGGACACUUACUGGGAAAUAUAAAAGAGUGUUGUCUAAGCCCGCUGUUUGCUGUUGAAACUUUACAUGUAUUUUCAUAAAAAAUUGGAAGAUGGAAUGAAACAAAGAGACUCGAGUCGGAAAAUACUUUUUUUUUUGAUAACUGGAAGCGUAAAAAAAAAAAAACAUUCAGAGCUUUUAGAAUUUAAAUUAAACUUUCAUAGAUUCAAUUUUGCGCAUUUCUGCGGUGGCAAUCUGCAAGAUACGACAAAAAAAGGUAUAGACAAUUGUUUUCUUUCCUUAUAUUUAGUAUUAUUUUUAAAUAGUAACAUAUAUCUUAUCCUUGAAAUUAUGAUCUGUAAAAACAAUGUAAAAGAAUGGAUCACCAGGAACCAAGUAUUUAGUAACACUUAGAAUUAUUACAAGCCAGACAUAUUGUCGUCUAUAAAACGCCCCACUCUUUCAUAUUUUCACUGUAUAAAAAUCAUGUUUUGUGGCAAUGGAGUAGAAUUAAAGGCAUUCUAUAAUUACAUGAACGAAUUACUUAAAACCCUAACUGUAAAAUUACGAGCAAUUCUUAAAUAUUUGAGGGAGUUCGCAUCGAGAAGUAUGCUAUGUGACUGAAAUGGCCCAAACUUCUACCACAGAAUUUAUAUAUAUAUAUAUAUAUAUAUAUAUAUAUAUAUAUAUAUAUAUAUAUAUAUAUAUAUAUACAGAAACGAAAACAAUUCCUGCGAAAUACAAGUCACAAACAGUAAAAAUAAUAAAACAAUGCCAAAAAUAAAGUCGGGAUAGUGAAAAGACUUCCACAAUUACGUAUAUUUGUGUCUAAAUGUGAUUAAAAAGUUAAUAAAGAUGACCAAGUGAGCGUACGAAGCCUAAAUAUCAGCGUAUUUGCAGGAUGCUGAAUAUAUGCGUUCAAAAGUCCAUUUUUCAAUAUAGUUUUCAAGAUUACACAAAGGAUAGGAUAGGCCGACGCGAAAUGGCCAAAUAAAAAGUCCGUGGACAUCCAUUGUUCGGAUGAUUCCUAUAUCAUCACCACCUGUGGCUUUAAAUUGGGCUUCAUGAAUAUUUCUGAGUUAUCUCCAGAUUAUUUAAACAACACUGAGCUUUUUUCUUUGUGCACGUUUUUAUCCAUCUCGGUUUCAACUAAGCUAUCUAACGGCAAAUUGGCUCUGCUGUUAUUUUAAACCAUGACGCAUUCAUUUGUGUAUUCCAUUCACAAGUCCUAAGCGGGGGAGGGGG